CCUACGGGAGGCAGCAGUGAGGAAUAUUGGUCAAUGGCCGGAAGGCUGAACCAGCCAUGCCGCGUGAAGGUCAGUGCCCUAUGGGCGUUAAACUUCUUUUGUGCGGGAGCAAUAAUGGUCACGUGUGGCCAGACGAGAGUACCGUACGAAAAAGCAUCGGCUAACUCCGUGCCAGCAGCCGCGGUAAUACGGAGGAUGCGAGCGUUAUCCGGAUUUAUUGGGUUUAAAGGGUGCGCAGGCGGAUUGUUAAGUCAGCGGUCAAAUCGUGGGGCUAAACCCCAUCCAGCCGUUGAAACUGGGGAUCUAGAGUGUGCGAGAGGUAUGCGGAAUGCGUGGUGUAGCGGUGAAAUGCAUAGAUAUCACGCAGAACUCCGAUUGCGAAGGCAGCUUACUAGGCCAUAACUGACGCUGAAGCACGAAAGCGUGGGGAUCAAACAGGAUUAGAUACCCUUGUAGUC
rnacentral:rRNA from 1 species